CGUUAGCGGCGGACGGGUGAGUAACACGUGGGUAACCUACCUAUAAGACUGGGACAACUUCGGGAAACCGGAGCUAAUACCGGAUAAGAUAUCGAACCGCAUGGUUCGAUAGUGAAAGAUGGUUUUGCUAUCACUUAUAGAUGGACCCGCGCCGUAUUAGCUAGUUGGUGAGGUAACGGCUCACCAAGGCAACGAUACGUAGCCGACCUUAGAGGGUGAUCGGCCACACUGUAACUGAGACACGGUCCAGACUCCACGGGAGGCAGCAGCG
rnacentral:rRNA from 1 species